AGGCUGCCGCUGAAGAUCCUUACUGGGUGUCACCAGCAUACGCACAUACCCAACCCAGAACUGUCUUCCAAGAAGAAGAGGAAGAUGACGAAGAUGAAGAAGAAUCUCAAAGAAAAAAGAUGAAAUUAUUGUAGGAUAUGUGAUGAAGGCAGAAUAACACAGCGGACAUCUCGUGACGUCAUGAAAAAAUCUC